AUGCGGGCAGGUGUGCGGCUCCCACUACUUGACCUUCCCGUCCGUGGUCGGCUACACGCUCCCCUACGCGUGGGUGGGCAACUCGGCAGGGCGGUGCCCGGAGGUGUGCGCCUACCCGUUCGCCAUCCCGGCCUACGUGCCGGGGCGCCGGCCCGAGGCGCCGCCCAACGGCGACGCGGGGGUGGACGGCAUGGUGAGCGUCAUCGCGCACGAGCUGGCGGAGAUGGCGUCCAACCCGCUGGCCAACGCGUGGUACGCCGGCGGGGACCCCUCCUUCCCCACCGAGAUCGCCGACCUCUGAGAGGGGCAUCUACGGCACCGGCGGUGGCGGUGCGUACACCGGCCAGCUGCUCACUGACGGGCGGUCCGGCGCGUCGUACAACCUGA
rnacentral:rRNA from 1 species